AACGAACGCUGGCGGCAUGCCUAACACAUGCAAGUCGAACGAGACCUUCGGGUCUAGUGGCGCACGGGUGCGUAACGCGUGGGAAUCUGCCCUUCGGUUCGGAAUAACACAGAGAAAUUUGUGCUAAUACCGGAUGAUGACGUAAGUCCAAAGAUUUAUCGCCGAAGGAUGAGCCCGCGUAGGAUUAGCUUGUUGGUGGGGUAAUGGCCCACCAAGGCGACGAUCCUUAGCUGGUCUGAGAGGAUGAUCAGCCACACUGGGACUGAGACACGGCCCAGACUCCUACGGGAGGCAGCAGUGGGGAAUAUUGGACAAUGGGCGAAAGCCUGAUCCAGCAAUGCCGCGUGAGUGAUGAAGGCCUUAGGGUUGUAAAGCUCUUUUACCAGGGAUGAUAAUGACAGUACCUGGAGAAUAAGCUCCGGCUAACUCCGUGCCAGCAGCCGCCGUAAAAC
rnacentral:rRNA from 1 species